CAGUUUUCCACUACACUGGGUAUUCCCUCCAUCGAAAUCAAGUUCCAGUGAAGGGAGAUCAGUUUAACCCGCGGACUAAACAAUCUCAUUAAUGCUCAUCUUCCCACAUUUGGAAUGCAGUAAGUGUCUGUUCUCCGCUCUCCUCUCACCUGCAGGCCAUUUCCAGCCCUGCCUCUGCAUCUAUCAGCCCACCGCCGAGAUGCUACAUGCUGCAUGUUUGCCGCACGUUUGCCGCACUCUCGCUGUGUAAUGAUGUAGACAAUCUGUGCGCUUUUAAAAAUAUAUUAACCAUCUGCCCUGGGGAUCUAGCCCCCUCCGACAGGGAAUGGCAGAAUGACUGUUAUGCAUGACAGCUGGCUCACAAGGCUCGGAUGGAGAGCCAGGCUACGUUAAUAGGAUCGCAGUGCUACACUGCCGUUUAGAUACAUCGGGGUAAAGAAAGAGAAAGAAGUUGUCAAACACGGAGCAAUCUGUGUGUUUGUAAAUAUAACCUGUGUAUCUGCACUCCUGGGCAUCGGCAGCAGAAAACUGCACUUGUUCCAGAAUAUUAA